rnacentral:rRNA from 1 species
AUUGAACGCUGGCGGCAGGCCUAACACAUGCAAGUCGGGCGAGCGGCGGACGGGUGAGUAAUGUAUGGGGAUCUGCCUGAUGGAGGGGGAUAACUACUGGAAACGGUAGCUAAUACCGCGUACCAUAGUAUGAGCCCAAGUGGUAUUAGGUAGUUGGUGAGGUAAAGGCUCACCAAGCCGACGAUCUCUAGCUGGUCUGAGAGGAUGACCAGCAACACGGGGACUGAGAAACGGCCCAGACUCCGACGGGAGGCAGCAGUGGGGAAUAUUGCGCAAUGGGGGCAACCUGACGCAGCCAUGCCGCGUGAAUGAAGAAGGCCUUCGGGUUGUAAAGUUCUUUCGGUAGAGAGGCGUUAACUACAGAAGAAGCACCGGCUAAAUCCGUGCCAGCCGCCGCGGUAAUAC